AGAACGAACGCUGGCGGCAUGCCUAAUACAUGCAAGUCGAACGAACACUUCGGUGUUAGUGGCGCACGGGUGCGUAACGCGUGGGAAUCUGCCCUUGGGUUCGGAAUAACAGUUGGAAACGACUGCUAAUACCGGAUGAUAUCGAAAGAUCAAAGAUUUAUCGCCCAGGGAUGAGCCCGCGUAGGAUUAGCUAGUUGGUGAGGUAAAGGCUCACCGAGGCGACGAUCCUUAGCUGGUCUGAGAGGAUGAUCAGCCACACUGGGACUGAGACACGGCCCAGACUCCUACGGGA
rnacentral:rRNA from 1 species